GGGUUGUGAGGUUAAGCGACUAAGCGUACACGGUGGAUGCCCUGGCAGUCAGAGGCGAUGAAGGACGUGCUAAUCUGCGAAAAGCGCCGGCGAGGUGAUAUGAACCCUUGACCCGGCGAUGUCCGAAUGGGGAAACCCAGUGUGUUCCGACACACUAUCGUUAACUGAAUACAUAGGUUAACGAGGCGAACCGGGGGAACUGAAACAUCUAAGUACCCCGAGGAAAAGAAAUCAACCGAGAUUCCCCCAGUAGCGGCGAGCGAACGGGGAGCAGCCCGGAGUCUGAAUCAGCUUGUGUGUUAGUGGAACGGUCUGGAAAGUCCGACGGUACAGGGUGAUAGUCCCGUACACGAAAAUGCACAUGCUGUGAACUCGAAGAGUAGGGCGGGACACGUGGUAUCCUGUCUGAAUAUGGGGGGACCAUCCUCCAAGGCUAAAUACUCCUGACUGACCGAUAGUGAACCAGUACCGUGA
rnacentral:rRNA from 1 species